rnacentral:rRNA from 1 species
GACGAACGCUGGCGGCGUGCUUAACACAUGCAAGUCGAACGGAAGGCCCUGCUUGCAGGGUACUCGAGUGGCGAACGGGUGAGUAACACGUGGGUUAUCUGCCCUGCACUUCGGGAUAAGCCUGGGAAACUGGGUCUAAUACCGGAUAGGAGCCAUUUUUAGUGUGAUGGUUGGAAAGUUUUUUCGGUGUAGGAUGAGCUCGCGGCCUAUCAGCUUGUUGGUGGGGUAAUGGCCUACCAAGGCGGCGACGGGUAGCCGGCCUGAGAGGGUGGACAGCCACAUUGGGACUGAGAUACGGCCCAGACUCCUACGGGAGGCAGCAGUGGGGAAUAUUGCACAAUGGGCGCAAGCCUGAUGCAGCGACGCCGCGUGGGGGAUGACGGCCUUCGGGUUGUAAACUCCUUUCGCUAGGGACGAAGCUUUUUGUGACGGUACCUAGAUAAGAAGCACCGGCUAACUACGUG